GAUGAACGCUGGCGGCGUGCCUAAUACAUGCAAGUCGAGCGAACGGACGAGAAGCUUGCUUCUCUGAUGUUAGCGGCGGACGGGUGAGUAACACGUGGAUAACCUACCUAUAAGACUGGGAUAACUUCGGGAAACCGGAGCUAAUACCGGAUAAUAUUUUGAACCGCAUGGUUCAAAAGUGAAAGACGGUCUUGCUAUCACUUAUAGAUGGAUCCGCGCUGCAUUAGCUAGUUGGUAAGGUAACGGCUUACCAAGGCAACGAUGCAUAGCCGACCUGAGAGGGUGAUCGGCCACACUGGAACUGAGACACGGUCCAGACUCCUACGGGAGGCAGCAGUAGGGAAUCUUCCGCAAUGGGCGAAAGCCUGACGGAGCAACGCCGCGUGAGUGAUGAGGGUCUUCGGAUCGUAAAACUCUGUUAUUAGGGAAGAACAUAUGUGUAAGUAACUGUGCACAUCUUGACGGUACCUAAUCAGAAAGCCACGGCUAACUACGUG
rnacentral:rRNA from 1 species